rnacentral:rRNA from 1 species
GACGAACGCUGGCGGCGUGCUUAACACAUGCAAGUCGAACGGAGUGGCGAACGGGUGAGUAACACGUGGGUGAUCUGCCUUGCACUUCGGGAUAAGCUUGGGAAACUGGGUCUAAUACCGGAUAGUGCAAGAUGAGCUCGCGGCCUAUCGGCUUGUUGGUGGGGUAAUGGCCUACCAAGGCGUCGCCGGGUAGCCGGCCUGAGCGGGGGUACGGCCACAGUGGUACUGAGAGAGGGCCCAGACGCCUACGUGAGGCAGCGGUGGGGAAUAUUGUACAAUGGGCGGAAGCCUGAUGCAGCGACGCCGCGUGGGGGAUGAAGGCCUUCGGGUUGUGAACUCCUUUCGACAGGGACGCGGUACCUGAAGAAGAAGCACCGGCUAACUACGUGCCAGCAGCCGCGGUAAUAG